rnacentral:rRNA from 1 species
CAGUAGCCGCGGUAAUACGAAGGGUGCAAGCGUUGUUCGGAAUCACUGGGCGUAAAGCGCACGUAGGCGGACUUUUAAGUCAGGGGUGAAAUCCCAAGGCUCAACCUUGGAACUGCCUUUGAUACUGGAAGUCUUGAGUUCGGGAGAGGUGAGUGGAACUGCGAGUGUAGAGGUGAAAUUCGUAGAUAUUCGCAAGAACACCAGUGGCGAAGGCGGCUCACUGGCCCGAUACUGACGCUGAGGUGCGAAAGCGUGGGGAGCAAACAGGAUUAGAUACCCGGGUAGUCCCUGUCUCUUAUAC